CUCAACCGUCAAGCACCUGCUCUGCUUCGUGUCUUCUUCUCCAGCUGAUCCAGGAAAAACACAAAGGAUAGGAACACGACAGUGAAUCAUCUGUGCAUGAAAUUAUAAUUGCUUAAAUGUCCUUCUGGAGAUUUCUUGGAAGAAUUAGACGUCCUCCUAUCGAACAUCCCAGAAAAUGGCCCUCCACUUGUCUUUCAACAUCCAGACAGAGAAGUCAUCUGACCUAUUACUUUUACUUUCUUCCUUUGCUCUCUCACUCAGUCCUUCCCCUCCUACUCACAAAGCUGGUAACCCCCUUGACUAUAUUUUCACCAGAAUUGUUUUACAUCUAACCUCACUGUAACCCCACUUCAUGUCUCUGACCACUUCUUUAUCUCUUACUCUCUCCCACUCUCACAAACUGACAAACCUAUCACUUCAACAGACUCUUUACCUGUCCGUCGCAACAUUAGCCCCCUCCCUCCCUCCUCUCUGGCUUCCUCUGUUUUAUCAGCCCUCCCUUCAACUCUCAGUCCUCCUCAGCUUCGUGGUUGUCUGACUCGGUGCGCGCCGACAGAGCCACUAUGUGAGAAUCAGAAAGGAAAUGGCGAAAAUCUUAACACCCUAAUGACCUGCUCACUUAUCAAUCUCUUCUCUCCUCUUUCUCUGCCUCUAUUUCUGCAGCCAAAAGCUCUUUUUACCAAACAAAAAAUUCAAUCCUCAUUUUCGAACCCCAAAAACCUGUUCUCCAUCUUUUCCAACCUCCUUGACCCCCCCUUACCCUCCUCCUUAGACCCUUCUACCAAGCCACUUUGUCAACUACUGUACAAAACAGAUAGAUGACAUAUGAUCCUCAUUUUCAAAUCCACCUUCUGUAAAUACAUUUCCAUCAACUUCAUCUUCAUCCCCUUCGCUUUUCUCUUUCACCCACCUGUCUCAUAAGUUCUUAUGCUGGUAGGAGAGCAUAAUAACUUAUAAGAACAUAAGUUCUUAUGCUUCUAGACAUUUCUGCUGGAUUUGACACAGUGAACCACCAGAUUUCCUCCCUUCAGGAUCUGGGUGACUCAGGCUCUACUCUCUCCCUGCUCUCAUCCUACCUCAAAGACCGCACUUGGUAACUUGGAGAGGAUCUGUGGCCGAACCUUGUCCUGUCACUACUGGGGUAGCAGCAAGAACCUCUGCCUGUCUGACUGACAUCUCUCAGUGGAUGUCUGCACACCACCUGAAAAUUAACCUUGACAAGACCGAACUACUUUUACUUCCAGGGAAAGGCUCUCCCACCCAUGACCUUACUAUUACCAUUGACAACUCCGUGGUAGCCCCCACCCAGACUGCUAGGAACCUGGGUGUGACACUCGACUGUCAACUCUCCCUUACUUCCAACAUUACUGCAACAACACGUUCCUGUAGAUUCACGCUGCACAACAUCAGG